rnacentral:lncRNA from 1 species
GUUAUGUACCUACUCUUGGAAGCUCUCUAAUUCAUUGCUUCUAUUAGAGCACAUACCACGGUACACAGUACUUUAAAAGGAAGAAAAAUUUAUAAGACCUUUGACUGACAACCUACAAAAGCAAAAGCUGAGUAAGGAUACCAACACUUGAAUCCAAGGAUAAUGGAAAAAUAACAUCUGACUGGAAUAAAUGGAUCACAUAUAUAAGCCAUGCUACCAUGCUACUUAUGUGAACUGAAAUACGGAUAAGGAAGCAUAUCUGGUUCUAAUUUCUGAACUCAACACCAGAUGUUUUCAAGG